AAGCGCACCAAUAACCUACCUGGU
rnacentral:siRNA from 1 species